UACGGAGGGUGCAAGCGUUAAUCGGAAUUACUGGGCGUAAAGCGUGCGCAGGCGGUUAUGUAAGACAGUUGUGAAAUCCCCGGGCUCAACCUGGGAAUUGCAUCUGUGACUGUAUAGCUAGAGUACGGUAGAGGGGGGAUGGAAUUCCGCGUGUAGCAGUGAAAUGCGUAGAUAUGCGGAGGAACACCGAUGGCGAAGGCAAUCCCCUGGACCUGUACUGACGCUCAUGCACGAAAGCGUGGGGAGCAAACAGG
rnacentral:rRNA from 1 species